rnacentral:rRNA from 1 species
UACGAAGGGGGCUAGCGUUGCUCGGAAUGACUGGGCGUAAAGGGCGCGUAGGCGGUUUGUACAGUCAGGUGUGAAAUUCCCGGGCUCAACCUGGGGCUGCACUUGAUACGUAUGGACUGGAGUGGGAAGAGGGUCGUGGAAUUCCCAGUGUAGAGGUGAAAUUCGUAGAUAUUGGGAAGAACACCGGUGGCGAAGGCGGCGACCUGGUCCUUGACUGACGCUGAGGCGCGAAGCGUGGGGAGCAAACAGG